UACUCGAGUGGCGAACGGGUGAGUAACACGUGGGUGAUCUGCCCUGCACUCUGGGAUAAGCCUGGGAAACUGGGUCUAAUACCGGAUAGGACCAUGCUUUAGUGUGUGUGGUUGGAAAGUUUUUUCGGUGUAGGAUGAGCCCGCGGCCUAUCGGCUUGUUGGUGGGGUAAUGGCCUACCAAGGCGGCGACGGGUAGCCGGACUGAGAGGUUGGUCGGCCACAUUGGGACUGAGAUACGGCCCAG
rnacentral:rRNA from 1 species